UGCACGGCCCUUAGAUCCACCUUUGGGGCCCUUGAGGCCCAGCGACCUACGGGUUGUUUGUCGAAGGUGAAUGAGUCAUAACCGUGCGAGAUCGGCAUACCUCCAGCGUCAAACAGUAGCCUGUUAUACAUUUGUUGUGACAGGUAAUUUGAUGGUGGGGACACA